rnacentral:SRP_RNA from 1 species
GCCGGGCGCGGUGGCGCGUGUCUGUAGUCCCAGCUACUCGGGAGGCUGAGGCUGGAGGAUCGCUUGAGUCCAGGAGUUCUGGGCUGUACUGUGCUAUGCCGAUCAGGUGUUCGCACUAAGUUUGGCAUCAAUAUGGUGACCUCCCGGGAGCGGGGGACCACCAGGUUGCCUAAGGAGGGGUGAACCGGCCCAGGUCAGAAAUGGAGCAGGUCAGAACUCCCAUGCUGAUCAGUAGUGGGAUGGCGCCUGUGAAUAGCCACUGCACUCCAGCCUGGGCAACAUAGCGAGACCUUGUCUCU